rnacentral:piRNA from 1 species
CAAGACAGUCAUGCAGAGGACCUGAGG